CUUUACUUGGUGCUGGUUGGGUUA
rnacentral:piRNA from 1 species